GGCUUAAUGAUUUUAAUUUUAGGUCGAUCUGCCCAAUGAUUUAAAUAUUUAAUGGCUGCAGUAUAAUUGACUGUACAAAGGUAGCAUAAUCAAUUGUUUUUUAAUUAAAAACUGGAAUGAAAGAAUUAAUGAGAUAUAUACUGUCUCAUAUAUAUUUAAUUAAUUUAAAUUUUUAGUAAAAAUGCUAAAAUAAAUUUAUGGGACGAUAAGACCCUAUAGAAUUUUAUAUUAAUAUUUAAAUUUAUUAUUUAUUUUAGAUAUUAAUAUUUAAUUGGGAGGAUUAAUAAAUUUAAUUAACUUUAUUUUAAAUAAAAACUUUAAUUUAAGAAUAAUUAAUGAUCUUUUAUUAAAAAUUAUAAGAAUAAAUUACCUUAGGGAUAACAGCGUAAUAUCUUUUUAAAGAUCAUAUUAAUAAAGAUGAUUGCGACCUCGAUGUUGAAUUAAGAUAAAUUUUAAAUGGAGAAGUUUAAUAAUUAAGUCUGUUCGACUUUUAAAAUCUU
rnacentral:rRNA from 1 species